rnacentral:rRNA from 1 species
UACGUAGGGUGCGAGCGUUGCCCGGAUUUACUGGGCGUAAAGGGCGCGUAGGCGGUCAGCACAAGUCGGUUGUGAAAUCUCCGAGCUUAACUCGGAAAGGUCAACCGAAACUGUGCGACUAGAGUGCAGAAGGGGCAACUGGAAUUCUUGGUGUAGCGGUGAAAUGCGUAGAUAUCAAGAGGAACACCUGCGGCGAAGGCGGGUUGCUGGGCUGACACUGACGCUGAAGCGCGAAAGCUAGGGUAGCAAACGGG